AAAGAAGUAUGAAAACUGAAUUAGUGAUGGAUUUCUCGUUUUCACACAAUUCUACAGUCACAUCUCUCAUUUAUUUGUCUCAUAAAAUAUUUAAAAAUAAUAAUAAAAAAAAUUGCCCCAACGACCAACAUUUGACUUUAUUAACAGACUGCUCCUCUCUCUGUUGUGCACAUAUGGGCUGAUGGAUCUAUCGUUUAUCUUCUUCAAUAGGAAUCCAUAGCUCUCUCUUUCUCUUUUUAUCAAACAGGUUAUCUUCUCACCUAUUCUAUUAGAAAUCUUUAUUAUAAUUUUCUUUUUUUUUUUUAGUUUGAUGUAACGAACUUUUGAAUAUGGGAAAUGUUUGUUCUGCUAUUUUUUCUUAGAGCUAUUUUGGGUUUAGAAUUUGUGGAAUUUGACUAAAGAAAAUGUGAAAAUCUUGAAUUGGUUCUCACAUCUUGUUUUCUCUGCAGCUUAAUUUUGGUUGAACUCCAACCAACCAAUCGUCUUCACUUGGAAUCUUUCUCUUCCCUUUGAUUUUCUUGGCAAACAAACAGAGCUUAUCAUUUUCUACGUCUUUUAUAUGCAUCCCUCUUGCAUGCGUAUAUAACCUAUAUUCUUAAGAUUUUAUCAGUUCUGAUUGCUUCAGGUUUUGUUUACUCUUUCUUUCUUUCUUUUUUAUUAUCAAUUUGAGGACCCUAUGUAUCUUUACAUAUUAUUCUUUUCUAUUUUAUCUAUUUUUUUUUAAUAUUAAUCCUUCUGAUUUUGCUGGAAGACCUUUGCUCUGUUAAUUUUGUUUGUUUCACUAUAUAAAAAAGAAUAAAUGUGCAGCUUAUAUAUCCUGCUUCGUAGGUGAAGAGUAAAUGGACUU
rnacentral:misc_RNA from 1 species